GUGCCAGCAGCCGCGGUAAUACGUAGGGGGCGAGCGUUGUCCGGAUUCAUUGGGCGUAAAGCGCGCGCAGGCGGUUGGCAGAGCCCGGCGUGAAAGCCCCCAGCUCAACUGGGGGAGGCCGUCGGGGACCUGUCGACUGGAGGCCGGUAGGGGCGAGCGGAAUUCCCGGUGUAGUGGUGGAAUGCGUAGAUAUCGGGAGGAACACCAGUGGCGAAGGCGGCUCGCUGGACCGGUCCUGACGCUCAGGCGCGAAAGCGUGGGGAGCGAUCCGGAUUAGAUACCCGGGUAGUCC
rnacentral:rRNA from 1 species